rnacentral:rRNA from 1 species
UACAGAGGGUGCGAGCGUUAAUCGGAAUUACUGGGCGUAAAGCGUGCGUAGACGGUUUCGUAAGUCGGGUGUGAAAUCCCCGGGCUCAACCUGGGAAUUGCAUUCGAAACUGCGAGGCUGGGGUACGGAAGAGGGAAGCGGAAUUUCUGGUGUAGCGGUGAAAUGCGUAGAUAUCAGAAGGAACAUCAGUGGCGAAAGCGGCUUCCUGGUCCAGUACCGACGUUCAGGCACGAAAGCGUGGGGAGCAAACAGG